rnacentral:rRNA from 2 species
UGGGGAAUAUUGCACAAUGGAGGGAACUCUGAUGCAGCGACGCCGCGUGAACGAAGAAGGCUUUCGAGUCGUAAAGUUCUUUUAUAUGGGAAGAUAAUGACGAUACCAUAAGAAAAAGCCCCGGCUAACUACGUGCCAGCAGCCGCGGUAAUACGUAGGGGGCUAGCGUUGUCCGGAAUCACUGGGCGUAAAGGGUUCGCAGGCGGAAAUGCAAGUCAGGUGUAAAAGGCAGUAGCUUAACUACUGUAAGCAUUUGAAACUGCAUAUCUUGAGAAGAGUAGAGGUAAGUGGAAUUUUUAGUGUAGCGGUGAAAUGCGUAGAUAUUAAAAAGAAUACCGGUGGCGAAGGCGACUUACUGGGCUCAUUCUGACGCUGAGGAACGAAAGCGUGGGUAGCAAACAGG